rnacentral:tRNA from 1 species
GAUUCAGUAGCUCAGUUGGUAGAGCAUUGCCCUUUUAAGGCAAGGGUCCUGGGUUCGAGCCCCAGCUGAAUCA